GGGGGCGUCACGGCUUCGACGGGAUUGCUUGUGGCAGAGAGGCAUGCCGGGGUGUGGACACCCGUAAUCGCUCACAAAAUCAUAAGUGCCGAACCUCAAUUCGCGCUUGCUGCUUAAUAUUUAAGUAGCCGAUCGCUUCCCCUUCGCCUACGGGGGGAUACCGAUCGUCGCACAGUAGGCUGGCCCAAGGAGUUCCGUCUGGACGCCGAGGGCGAGAUCAAUCAGGCUGGUCGGUAUCGCGUCUUCGCCCGUUCUGAGCGACGCUGACGAGACAAAUCGGAACGCGGAAAAGCAUGAAUGCUCUCUGUUGGAAGUUUUUUCGGACGCGGGUUCGACUCCCGCCGCCUCCACCA
rnacentral:tmRNA from 1 species